CCGUUGCGUGCUCCGUCGCUGCUGCUGGAGGUGGGUGGCCGAGCCUCUGCCGCUAGAAAACGCCGCUGCCGCUACCGAGAAACACUGCCGUUGAGCUACCGGAGCUUAUGGCUACUAUCGGAGCUGUUGCCAGGUCAGUUUGGGAUUGCGACUGCUCUGUUCUGCUGUUACCGGUUGAGUUUCGGAAAUUGUAUAAUUAAAACAAAAGUUGCUGCGAUGUUGUCUUGAUUCGUUUCUCAUGAUAAGUCGUCGUUGUUGUGAACUUUGAUUGUCGCUGUUGAUAUUGCUUGGGAAUCAAUGAGGUUGCUGCCGCGAGUUAAGAAUAGAAAGAUGACUCUUGACGCGUUAACCUUUAAGGGGUUCGACUUUGAGAUUUCUUUUUCAGUGACAGGUUCAGGAAGCUUUAACGUGAAGCCGCGAUUGAACUACCAGCUUAUUAUGUGUGAUUGUAUUUUAUGAAUUUGGUUUAGUUUAUUAUAUUUUUCCCUCGAUGACUAUUGUUUUGGUUUUUAGAGAGGUAGGACUUGUAUUUUUUAGGAGUUUUGAUUAAGUCUAUGUAUUUAUAAUUAUGUGGAUAUAAGUAUGUGAUUAUGUGGUUUAAAGUAAAGACUUUCCUUUUUUGUAAUUAAAAUCCGAUUUGUAUU